GUUUUUAUAGUUUAACUUAAAACAUUGGUCUUGUAAACCAAAAAUAAUAAAUAUAAUUUAAAAACU
rnacentral:tRNA from 1 species